UGUUCCCCCACCCCCCCCUUCCCUAAAACACUGGAGAAUUCAGGUCUGGAGCCUGACGGCACUGGAGUAUACAGCAUGUACUGUGCCCCUUGGAAUGCUGGCUGCACUUAAAAGCUUUCUUUAAACAACACAGGAUCCUUUUGCUUUAUCAUGUUACUUGUUUAUUAUCUGCUGCUUCUGUGAGGGAAGAGAAUUGGAAUCUGCCGUGAAAAGGAGAUGCUAAUGGAUCUGGCAAGGUUGAUUGCAAAAUGGAACAAUGGAAAAGGACAAACAUGAAAAGCCCUGGGAGCCAUCCAUGCAGAGGAGGAAUUAUAACUUGCACCUGAUGCUCAUGCUUAAAACAGAAUCCAGGAAAGGACCGGGAAACUUCAGGAGAAUCUGAUAGGCUCUUCUGGAGCCAAUAGCACUGGAGUGGCUACAGGUGGAAGAACAUCAGAUAAAGCAGAAGAGAUGGCUGUAUACAAGGAAU
rnacentral:lncRNA from 1 species